GUACGCUGAUUUGGAGGUAAUUGGAAGACCAACUCAAUGAGGGCCAUUAAACGAAUUUUUUGACCUAGUAAAGCAACCGAACUUUGCAGUAAAGGCAUUUUGUUAAUUUGCCCCAUUAAGCGUUCAAACAAAGGUAAAUCUCCGACAUUCAUGGCGAUGACUAAAUCAUGUAACCACUCGUGCUGUGUACCUACUAGCAACUCGAAAACAGGAUGUAAUAAUAAUUCACCAAAAUUAUAAAUAUCACCGAGUAUUGCGGCAACACUUAGAUCCACCGCUCUUUCAACUAACUCGGUAUGAGAGCAUUUAUCGAGGUCGAUGCAAGAUAAAUACAAUAGACAAUGACGAUAGUAUUGAGCAUAAUCAGCCUUUGCCUUGUAGUAGUCUGCACUGACGCUAUAAUAUGAAGAAUGAAUAAGACUUUCUACGUAAUCAAUGUGGUCGAUAAUUUUUGAGGCUUUGACAAGUAGUUCCCGGGCUUCAUCCAACUUACCACUAAUCAGCUUGAUGCGAGCAAUGGCAACAAUGGAAUAUACAUAGGCAUCUUUAUAUUUCUCUUCAUCCAAUUCGUUAACAAUUUGGUUUAAAUUACGAAGGGCUUCGUCGUUAGAACAUGACUCAAAAGCCUUUAAGCCCAUGUACACUGCUUUGAGUUGAUUGAUAUUAGGUCGAAAUGAGUUGACAAAGUUCGUAUACAAAGGAAGCCUUAAAGGUACUGUUUCUGGGGUAUCAAAGAAAACAAUCAAAGCAUCUGUAAGUUGUUUCCAUAAUCUGGCGUCAGUUAAUGUAAAGUUCAUUUUCUUCUAAAGCACUUUUACAACAUACUUCCUUUCAUAAAGGUCUUCCAUUAAAAUAUAGGAUUGCUGAAGGCUUUCUGGAGCUCUUGUAGCUUGAUCGUGUAAAAAAUCAGACAUAUUGACAGACAUUUCGGUAUCCAUGAUGAAAUCCUUCGUGGAGUAGUUGUUUGCUGAUGGCAAGUGCUCAAGUCA